rnacentral:rRNA from 1 species
UACGUAGGGGGCGAGCGUUGUCCGGAAUUACUGGGCGUAAAGCGCACGUAGGCGGCUUUGUAAGUUAGAGGUGAAAGCCUGGAGCUCAACUCCAGAAUUGCCUUUAAGACUGCAUCGCUUGAAUCCAGGAGAGGUGAGUGGAAUUCCGAGUGUAGAGGUGAAAUUCGUAGAUAUUCGGAAGAACACCAGUGGCGAAGGCGGCUCACUGGC